rnacentral:rRNA from 1 species
UAAGGAAUAUUGGUCAAUGGACGCAAGUCUGAACCAGCCAUGCCGCGUGGAGGAUUAAGGCCCUCUGGGUUGUAAACUCCUUUUAUCUGGGACGAAAUGUACUUUUUCUUGAGUACUUGACGGUACCAGAGGAAUAAGCACCGGCUAACUCCGUGCCAGCAGCCGCGGUAAUACGGAGGGUGCAAGCGUUAUCCGGAUUCACUGGGUUUAAAGGGUGCGUAGGUGGGCAGGUAAGUCAGUGGUGAAAUCUCCGGGCUUAACCCGGAAACUGCCGUUGAUACUAUUUGUCUUGAAUAUUGUGGAGGUAAGCGGAAUAUGUCAUGUAGCGGUGAAAUGCUUAGAUAUGACAUAGAACACCAAUUGCGAAGGCAGCUUACUACACAAUCAUUGACGCUGAGGCACGAAAGCGUGGGGAUCAAACA